AUGUAGCAGAAAUAUUAGAUGCAAAUCUUCUAACAGAGCCAUGUAACAUGGAAAUGAUGCUAAAGAUGGGGCAACUUGGUCUAAGAUGUGUAGUGGAAAAUCCCAAAAAGCGUCUUACAAUGACACAGGUGUGGCAAGAGCUAGAACAGGCUUUAUAUGCCACUGAUAGCUUCAUUCCAAGAGAACCUUCUCGAGCAUCAUCUGCUAGUUCUUAUCGAUCCACAGAUCAUGGACCUCGAAGAUCAACGGACUGUGAGUCUUCCCAGAGCUUUGUCAGCAUUGAUGGUGUUGGAUUUCAACGGUUUCGUAUAGAGAUGGAUAGCCUUUCCUUUCAAAGUACAAGCUUGAGGUGUUUUGAGGUUAGUAGUGUCAGCACUGAUAUUGAUAAGAGCAAUUUGAGAG
rnacentral:misc_RNA from 1 species